UACGGAGGGUGCGAGCGUUGUCCGGAAUCACUGGGCGUAAAGGGCGCGUAGGCGGCUCGUUAAGUCAGUGGUGAAAGCCCAGGGCUCAACUCUGGGUCGGCCACUGAUACUCGCGAGCUCGAGUUUGGUAGAGGCAGAUGGAAUUCCGGGUGUAGCGGUGGAAUGCGUAGAGAUCCGGAAGAACACCGGUGGCGAAGGCGGUCUGCUGGGCCAAGACUGACGCUGAGGCGCGACAGCAUGGGGAGCAAACAGG
rnacentral:rRNA from 1 species